rnacentral:lncRNA from 1 species
UAAUAUCUUCUGAUGUCGGUGAGUGGAAAACGGAAUUUUUUCAGGUAAGAAGUCAUUUUCCUAACAAUUAAAAAAAAUGACCCCAAGGGGCAUGAUGUUGGUAGAAACAAAGAUGUAAAAGGAAAAAAAAGGGCAAAAAGUUGAUGCGUGUCAAAUUUAAAAAUGAGGCCGUUAGAUUUCACCUUCCUAUCUCGGCUUUCUUCAAUCCUCAAUAGCAAUGAGCGGACCGAGAUCUUGGUGAUUUCUAGACCAAUAAGUCCUUUUUGCUGGGGUCCAUGGACAGGUAUAGCUAUUAGAUCAACUGGCCGUGCAAAUGUAUGUGUUUUUCUUGUCCUUUUACAUUUG